rnacentral:rRNA from 1 species
AAUCAACGCUGGCGGCGCGCUUAACACAUGCAAGUCGCCCGAGAAAGGGCGCAAUCCUGAGUAAAGUGGCGCACGGGUGAGUAACACGUGGAUCAUCUACCUUCUAGUGGGGAAUACCCCCGGGAAACUGGGGACAAUACCGCAUAAGCUCGAAAGAGGAAAGCAGCAAUGCGCUGAAAGAGGAGUCCGCGGACGAGUAUGCCAGUUGGCGGGGUAAUGGCCCACCAAGGCGAAGAUCGGUAGCCGGCCUGAGAGGGCGCACGGCCACACUGGCACUGAAACACGGGCCAGACUCCUACGGGAGGCAGCAGUGGGGAAUCUUGCACAAUGGGGGAAACCCUGAUGCAGCGACGCCGCGUGAGUGAUGAAGCCCGUCGGGGUGUAAAGCUCUUUCGACAGGAACGAUAAUGACGGUACCUGAAGAAGAAGCUGCGGCUAACUACGUGCCAGCCGCCGCCGUAAUAC